AAAGAGAAAGGUUGAUCCGAUUUUGCUCCAACUUUGCGAAUCCUAAUAUUUCCAUCACUACUGGGUCAGGUGCGAAAAUGGACAAUAUCUCUCCACUCAAUCAAGUAUCUUCCCCACCAAAGUCACAACAUUGUUGCAGGUGCAUGGAAGGGGGACGGAGCAGCGACGGCAAUUGAGUUUCAGAUAUCAAUUAAAAUGUUAAGUGGUCGUCGCCGUAGUUCGUCGCUAUUCCUUACUUACUUGAGUUCCCUUUCCGGAGCCGGGAGGACCCAACAGAAUGGCAUUGAUGCCAACUUCAGGUUCAUAACGAGAUUGGGGUACGGCCUUAGCUGCGUUUGGAGCCAUUUUCACUUAGAAAUGUUUUCUUUUUAGGAGGCAACCCGCCGAAGCAAAAGUAAACGUGGAUGGAUUUGAGAAGUUGAAAAAACAACUAAAGAAAA